rnacentral:lncRNA from 1 species
UUUAUGUAUGUGGGUCGUAAAGUGAAAUUAUUUUGCCAUGAGGAAGAGGACGAUUGUCACGUUUCAAACAGAAUCUUUGGUCGGUAAAAGAUGAAAGGAAUACAUAAUGAACCGUUUAUUGUAUGUAAUUAGUGUGUUUAUUUAAUGGCAAGAAGCACCGUGGAAUUAAGUUUUUGCCAAGCCAUGGCCUCGAUAUAGUUUCUUUUUUUUUUUUUAUUCUUGAAUAAUGUCACUUCAUUUCUCUGUCAUUUAAAGAAGCUUUUUAAGAGAAUUUCUUUAAUUGUUAAUUCGUCUCCUUGAUUCCUGGAUCUCUUUGUACAAAACACGUUUUUUAAAAAAAAAAUUCACCUUUAUAGUUUGACAUGUGUUGUAGAAGAAUGCCGCCGCUACCGGGUCGCCUACGCGGUUACUUGACUUGCUAAAAUAGCAGCCAAAACCUCCACAUCAAAUCACACACACCCUAACCGUCUUUCAAAAGAUGAAUUAGAUAAAUAAAGACGGGAUAGUCGCGACUGGAACUCUUUUGAUCAUGUGACUGCUUAGUCACGUCUGAUAUGGAGCUAAAUUCCACCAACACGACUACAAUAACAGUUGUGGCAUUAUUAAACAGUGAUGGUACGGAAGCUCCUUGCUAGAAAUAGCGGCUAAAUUCCCUCAUCAUGCCCUACCUUUGUUUUUUAAAAGACAUUAGAUAAUGUGACCCAGAUAGGGGAGUGGAAUAACAAAAAAUGCGGGAUGGUCACAGCUGGAACCGCUUUGGUAAUCGGUCUGCUCGAUAAAGGAAAACCUGGGGCUGAAGAAUGACGCAGUAGCAUCAGUUGUAGUAGUAGUAAUAGUGGUGAUGGUAAUAGUAGUAGUUGUAGUAGUAGCAGCAGCAGCAACGACGGUGAGUGGCCCAUGCGACUACGCCGUGUGUGUCAAGGUCGAAGACUGAAACGGGCUGCACACAUUCACAUACAUUCAAAUAUAUAAACACACAUAUAUACGUAUAUAUACACACAUAUAUACAUUGAUUGUUUUGUUGUAUACAGAGGAUUCCAUUUCCCAAACGUCGCUGGUGUUAAUUCCACAGAAAUGGAUUGGCUGGCCACCACCGAUUUUUAUGUUGAACCCUGGAGUUAAAACAUUAUUCAUCCUCCUAUUCAAUAUAAUAAUUUUUUCGACAUCAUCCAAGCUCCAUUUAUCUCUCUCUCUCUAAAUACAUCUUUUUAUUAAUUUCAAAUGGAUGUACCUAUUCUCCUUACUGGAUGACCACCAAAACAAAAAAGAUCAAGAGAAGAAAACGAAAGAAAAAAAAGGAUUAACCAAAUUCUUUUGGUGAGUUUUAAGAAAGGGAUUAGAUACAUUCUUAACCUGGGGAUUAUUGUUAGUUUUUAAUCGUUGUUUCUCAAUUUGUUUUCCUCAUUAUUAUGAAUUAUUAUUUUUGUCCGUUAUCAGAUUUUGAUUUUAUUUGACAAGCACUCAGCUGAAUAUUGCAUUUAUUCCAUCUCCCUCUAUUAUAUAUACUUUUUAAAUUUACAAGCACAUUGGCAUGUAUGUUUAUGGCGUGUAUGCAUUACAUUAUAUUUGUGUAGCGUGUUUAUACACACACACACACACUCAUAUAUACAUACAUAUAUACUGUAGAUCUGGGAAUACUAGCUAUACUCCAAACGUUAACCCGAUACAGUUAUGUUGUGUGCGUGUAUAUAUAUAUAUAUAUAUAUAUAUAUAUAUAUAUAUAUAUACAUAUAUAUAAAGUACACACAAUAUAUAAUGCGAACGAAUAUAUACACGUGUAUUUAUAUCUAUUUAUAUAUACACAAGACAUGUAUGUAUGUAUAUACACACACAUGUGUAUAUGAUACGAUAGAAUAUAUACGCGUAUAUACACUCAGUGAAAAUAAAUAUAUGUAAGAGUGUGUGAAAUGGUUCGGUUAGCAAUUCUCAACAUUUCCUUUUUAAAUAAUGGAACUUCGAAUGUGGCAGCAGCAAUGAGAUUUAGAUGAUAUUUGAAAAAUUCUCUUCUCAACAAUUCUACCUUGGUCUACGUGAUGUUAAUUUAUUUCAACAAUUCAACAACAGUGCCCACCUCUGUCUGCUUUAUUUGUUUCCCUCAUCGUAAAGCCUCAAUUAUUAUUUUUCGCCAUGCGAAAACUUUGUAGAAUUCGGUCGAUUCAUCUUGACAGAUUCUUUAACCGAACCGUUCUUAUUAUAUUGGUUUGUUUGAAAUGUAAUAAAAUAUACUACCAUAUCCUAGCUUAAACCAACCCAUUUCUUCAGCUUUCUUCGUAAGUUAUAUAUUUUUUACCCCUUCUCGUCUUCUCUCUCUGAUAAGUCAGAAGGCACCGUGCUUCUACUAAAACUUCCAUAAUAUUUCACCUCGGCACCAAAAAUUCUACCUUCUGACUUCACCCCUAAACAUUUUGACAAUAAAUACGUUGGAAAGUCAACGUUUUAGAGGGGCUUUUCUCUUUAAUUUGAUAUCAAACUUGGGGUUCCUUCUCGAUGUUCUAUCUCUUAUUUUUCUAACUAAAUCACUGUUGAUUCUUUUAAAACUAAUCUUGUUUACUCCAGCAGUUUUAAUGAUUUUUUGUUUUCUUCUUUUUAAUUAAGUUGUUGAUUCUGUUUAUUAUUUAGCAACUGUCACGUCACCCAACACUACCCUUGCAUUCAUUUAUGUAAACAUCCCAAACUAUUAAUUGCAUUUAAAUUUCAUUUAAAUGCAAUUAAACCUCAUUGCAUAAAUCACUUUCUUUUUAUGACUGCUUAUAGAAAAUAGAAUGCUAGUGAGAGGUGUCCACCGUAAUUAUAAUUGUUUUUAUUUUAAUUUUUAGUAAUCACAUAUAAAUACUUUCAAAUUCAUGCUCUUUCAUCUAUUUUAAGCUAUAACAUUCCAUGUUAAUUGUUAUUUUCAUGGUGACCUUCCAAACUGGUGUAUUUUUUUUAUGCCCCACACUUCAAUUCCUCGUUUGCCUUUUUAUCUUCGGUCAAUAACUGGGGUUAUUUAUGUACUGGGUUAAAUAAAUACAAUUUCCCCAUUCGUUUAAAGAAUUUACCUUGAUCCAAAGCAAAAUAUAUUGCAUUAGCUGAAUAAGGACGUGUGUUUAUUACAUACAAGCGCACACAUGUGCGUGUUUGAUAUAUAUAUAUAUAUAUGUGUGUGUGUGUGUGUGUAUACAUGUACGCGUGUGUGCAUACAUGUACCUGUGUGUGUGUGUGUGUAUACAUGUACGCGUGUGUGCAUACAUGUACCUGUGUGUGUGUGUAUACAUGUACGCGUGUGUGCAUACAUAUACCUGUGUGUGUGUGUGUGUGUGUGUGUGUAUACAUGUACGCGUGUGUGCAUACAUGUACCUGUGUGUGUGUGUGUGUGUGUAUACAUGUACGCGUGUGUGCAUACAUGUACCUGUGUGUGUGUGUGUAUACAUGUACGCGUGUGUGCAUACAUGUACCUGUAUGUGUAUAAUGUGUGUACGUGUUCGUGUAUGUACACAUUUUCUCUUGUUGAAGUUUUUUGUCUAUUUUGACUGACCAACUCCAUCUUAAUAAUAUGAACUAUUUCUAUCUAUAAAACUGUCAGUUCUAUCUUCAUCUUUGUGCAAGCAUCCACUCUUUGUAUCUUGCAAAUUUUUAUUGUCCCAGAUCUGAUGAUGAUCAUCUGUUAAUGUACGAAUUAUGUAAGCUAGCUUCAUUUCACAGGAAUCUUUUGUUCGGCCAUUCUUUGAUCCAGACGGGUUGGUACACAUCCUGUUACUCCAAUAAUAAUGGGUAUCAAGUGUAUUUUAGCUACAGGAUUCACAAAUUCCUUUUCAUAGAUGUCCAUUGAUGUAUUCUUUCUCCUGUAUUCCUCCCCUUAAUGUGAAGUGGGGGAACUAACUUCCACAACAGACCAUGUUCUUUGUGACCCCAAACACCAAUAUCACUGGUUUCAUUUUAAUAUGGUGGCUGUUUAUUUUAAAUUCUACCAUUAAUCUUUUAAUCGAUUCAUCGAUCUCAAUGUGUUCGUUCUUGUUGGUUAUCUUUUUAUUUCUAAUUUUAUCUUAGAUUGCCCUAUCGCAUCAUACUUCCUCUGAAGGUAAUAUCUCGAGGGGACAUUCCCUUUGAAUUUGGCAUUGAUCUAACUAAUGUCUCCAGUUUCGGUUUGGCAUAACCUACAUUUGUUGUCAGCUGAUGAUUUUUUGUCUUUUGUGUAGAAGAAAAUACAUGCUUUGGGAUUCUUACUCCUGUAUUUCAUGGUGAUAACCUACAAAACAUAUCAUAAUCUAGUUUUUCCUUCAAGCUAGUUUUAUUUUAAAUUUGGUUUAUUCCACCCCAUGUUCUGUGUUAUUUGUUUCAGUUUCCAUUAAAAUCUUCUCAACGACUAGUGGUGGGUGUUGUAUUAGGAUUUCCAACGAUUCUUGAGAGAUAAAAGAACCUAAUUGGUUUUAUUCUAUAUUUCUUAUAUAGUUCCAUUAGUAACCCUAAUGAGUUUUUUUAAUUUUCGUUUUUAUUAACUUGAACGAUAAAUGAUUAGUCUUUUUUUUUUCUGUUGGAGAUGUUGCUGUGUCUGUAAAUGUGUGUAUAUUUACAUGUGUGCAUACGUCUGUAUGUGUGUAUACAUGCAGAUGUAUGGUGCAAGAAGUUCACUUUGCAAUGUAGGAUUUGAUUCCACUGCAUAGUACUUUUGGCAUAUGUCUUUCGCUAUAGACUUACAUAAGAACCAAACCUUAUGAAUAAAAAAAAGUGGGUUGACAGAAACUGGCCUGUAGCUCUUUGUGAAAAUUUCUCUCUCUCUCUCUGUCUUGUUUUAAGACAAUCCUUCCUUGUCAGAUACUGUGUUAUGCUGAUUGCCUGAAUAAGGGCUACAUCAAGUAGAAAGCAUGCCAAAACUGACAUUGGAGCAUGAAGCAGUCCUUCAGCUCAUCAGGUCCUUGUUAAAUUGUCCAAGUCAUGCAAAUAUGAUACAUGGAUGUUAAAUGAUGGUAAUGAAUACUCAACCACAUGCACUCGAAUUCAGUGAGAAAGGGAGCACCUGAAUGCUUACUGACAAAACUGACCGAGAUCCUUUUACCUUACAUUUAUUCAUCAUCAUCAUCAUCACCAUCGUUUAAUGUCCGCUUUCCAUGCUAGCAUGGGUUGGACGAUUUGACUGAGGUAUGGCGAACCAGAUGGCUGCACCAGACUCCAAUCUGAUCUGGCAGUUUCUACAGCUGGAUGCCCUUCCUAAAGCUAACCACUCUGAGAGUAUAGUAGAUGCUUUUACGUGCCACCGGAACGAGGGCCAGUCAGGCGGUACUGGCAAAGGCCACACUCAAUGGUGAUUUUUAUGUGCCACCUGCACAGGAGCCAGUCCAGUGGCACUGGCAACGACCUCGCUUGAAUGUUUUUUCACGUGCCACCAGCACAAGUGCCAGUAAGGCGACAUAGGUAACGAUCACGCUUGAAUGGUGUUUUUUUACGUGCUAUUGGCAUGGAGGCCAGCUUGUUGCUCUGGCAACGAUCUCGCUUGUAUGGUACUCUUAGCGCUCCACUAGCACAGAUGCCAGUCAUUGAAUUUGAUUUCACACUUGCCUCAACAGGUCUUUGCAAGCAGAGUUUAGUGUCCAAUGAAGGAAAGGUACGCAUAAGUGGAUUGGUUACAUCCCUGGCGUAGGCCACAAGGUUAUGGUCUCACUUGCACUUGCCGAGUUUUCUCAAGCACACCAUAUUUCCAAAGGUCCCAGUCACUAGUUAUUGCCUCAGUGAGGCCCAAUGUUUGAUGGUCAUGCUUCACCACCUCAACCCAGGUCUUCCUCUUCCACAGAUUCCCUCAACUGCUAGGAUGUGACACUUUUUCACACAGCUAUCCACAGCCAUUCUCGCCACAUGACCAUACCAGUGCAGUCGUCUCUCUUGCUCACCACAUCUGAUGCUUCUUAGGUCCAACUUUUCUCUCAAGGCAACACUCUGACAUCCAUUGGAGCAUACUGGCUUCAUUCCUUGUGAGCUUACGCAUGUCCUCAGCAGUCACGGCCCAUGUUUCACUACCAUGUAGCAUGGCUGUUCGUACACAUGCGUCAUACAGUCUACCUUUUACUCUGAGCGAGAGGCCCUUUGUCACCAGCAGAGGUGAGAGCUCUCUGAACUUAGCCCAGAAUAUUCUUAUUCUAGCAGCUACACUUUCAGUGCACCCUCCCCCGCUACUGACUUGGUCACCUAGGUAACUGAAGCUAUCAACUACUUCUAGUUUUUCUCCCUGGAAUGUGGUGAAAGUUGUUUUCUGCACAUUUUCAGUCUUUAUUGCUCCUGAGCAUCUGCCACAUACAAAAACUAUCUUCCUAGUUAGACUUCCUUUGAUAUUGCUGCACCUCUUAUGUGUCCAUAGCUUACACUGGGUACAUAUUAUAGAGUUUCUACCUACGCCUUUUCUACAGAUCGAGCAGGGCCAUCUACCUGAAGGGAUUUGUGGUUUGCCUGCCUUCCUACUUAUUAGGACUUUGGUUUUAGCUAGGUUGACUCUAAGGCCCUUCGAUUCUAAUCCUUGUUUCCACACUUGAAACUUCUACUCUAGUUCUGAUAGUGACUCAUUAGAGCAAGGUCAGCAUGGAGGAGCUCCCAGGUGCAUCCUAUCUUGAAUUCCUCUGUUAUUGCCUGGAGGACUAUGAUAAAUAGGAGGGGGCUGAGGUCUGAACCUUGGUGGACCCCUACCUCUACCCUGAAUUCUUCACUGUACUCGUUGCCAACCCUCACCUUACUGACAGCGUCCCUGUACAUGACUUGUACAGCUCUCACUAACCAUUCAUCUAUACCUAGUUUCCUCAUUGACCACCAGUUAAGGGAUCGGGGGACCCUGUCAAAGGCUUUCUCCAUGUCAACAAAAGCCAGGUACAGGGAGCUUAUCUUUGGCUAGGUAUUUCUCCUGCAGCUGUCUUACCAGAAAUAUUGCAUCAGUCGUGCUUUUCCCUGGCACGAACCCAAAACUGCAUCUCAUCCAAACUGACUCUCUCCCUAAUUAGUUGGGCUAUGACCCUCUCCGUGACCUUCAUUACCUGAUCCAACAGCUUGACACCUCUGUAAUUAUUUGUAUCUAAAGCGUUACCUUUACCUUUGUAGCAGUUGACUAUUAUGCUGCUACACCAGUCAUUGGGUAUGACUCCUUAGUGUAUCACCUGGUUAACUAUACAGGUGACUAGGCUAUAGCCGACACUGCCAGAUAUUUUGAGCAUCUCUGCAGUAAUUCCUGAUGGGCCAGGGGCUUUCCCUGUCUUCAUACUUUUAAUUGCUUUAUCUUCCAACUCAGAUAGCUGGUCACUCUGUUGGGUCGACAUUCAGCAGACUCGCUUUCUCCCAUUCAUUUUCUUUAUUGAGCAACCUUUCACAGUGGCAUCUCCAAACCUCUCUCUUUGCAGCCCCAUUUAGUGCAAGAGGACCAUCAUCCAUGCGGACAGAUUUCUCUCCUACAACAUCAUGAUUCUCUCUCACACACUGUCUUGCAACAUGAAAUACUUCAAGUCUUUGGUCCUCACUGUGCAGAACAUUGGCAAAUUUUUUCUUAUCUGCUUCCCCUCUGGCUAAAUAAACCUGUCUCCUAGCUUCUCUUCUGGCAGUCUGACACAAUUCCCUGCUACCAUCAUUCUUCCAAGCCUGUUUCUUUUCUCUAAUAGCCCUGUCUAUAACAUUGUUCCACCACCACGUUAUUUGGAGUCGAGAGGGGACUUUGUACCAUCUACAGAUCUGGUCAGUGGCUCUCAGCAAGUUGUCCCGUAGAAACCUCCAGUUGUCUUCUACACCACAUGAAGCUAUAUCCCCAUCUAUUUCGUCAGAAGCUUUAAGUAAUAAGCUAUAUCUGUAUGCUCUCCAAUAUCCAAUAUGCUUACAAAUUAGUAUAAAAUUUUAUUGGGAAGUUUUUCUUUAGCUCACUUUAAAACAGGAAAUUUAUAUAAUAUAUCGGCAUCCCCAUGCUGGUGGCAUGUAAAAAGCACCAUCUGAACAUGGCCGAUGUCAGCGCUGCCUUGACUGGCUUCCAUGCUGGUGGCAUGUAAAAAGCACCAACCAAUCAUAGCCAUUGCCAGCCUCCUCUGGCCCCUGUGCCAGUGGCACGUAAAAAGCACCCACUACAUUCUCAGAGUGGUUGGUGCUAGGAAGGGCAUCCAGCUAUAGAAACAGUGCCAGAUCAGACUGGAGCCUGGUGCAGCCUCCUGGCUUCCCAGACCCCAGUCAAACCAUCCAACCCAUGCCAGCAUGGAAAACGGAUGUUAAACGAUGAUAAUGAACAUGGUUCCAUGUUCAGUUCCACUGCUUGGUAUGCAUGUGUGUGUUUAUCUAGGAAAUAAACCAGUCAUGUUUUGCUGAAUAAAUGAUUAAAUUCUUUAUUAUAUGAUGUUUGCACUUUGGGCCUCACAGAGGCAAUGACUAGUGACUGAGACCUUUGGCGAUAUGCUGUACUUGAGAAGACCCGUUAAGCCAAGUGAAAUUGUAGUUGUGGCUGAUGCUGGUGUCACGUAACUGGCACCUGUGCCAGUGGAAUGUAAAAAACACCUUUCGAGCAUUGGGCCUCACAGAAGCAAAAUUGCCGAUGGCAUGUGAAAAACUCCUUCUGAGUGUUGGUCCUCAUGGUGGCAAUGACAAAUGACCGAGACCUUUGGCAUUAAGUCGUGCUUGAGAAGACCCAUCAAGCCAGGUAAAAUCGUAACUGUGACAGAUAAUGAUGUUAUGCAAAUGGCACCUAUGCCGGUGGCACAUAAAAGCACUCAUUACACUCUCAGAGUGUAAUGGAUGUUAGGCAGGGCAUCCAACCAUAGAAACCAUGGCAAAUCAGACUGGGGUUUGGUGCAGCUUGCCAGCCCUGGUCAAACGGUCCAACCCAUGCCAGCAUGGACAACAGACACUAAAUGAUGAUGAUGAAACACAGAUUCAUCAUCAUCAUUCAACAUCUGUUUUCCAUGUAGGCAUGAGUUGGACAGUUUGACUGCAUCAGACUCCAAUUGUCUGUUUGGCAUGAUUUCUAUGGCUGGAUACCCUUCCUAACAGCAACCACUUUACAGAGCAUACUAGGUGCUAUUUAGUUGGCACCAGCAGAAGUACUUCUUACAUGGUGCCAUUAUGGGUGCUUUUUUAUGUGCUUUUUUGGAGAAUAUAUUCUGUAUCAUUCUCACUGUAAUGCUAGAGGACCAUGGAGAUCAAUAGCAGUAACACAAUUGAUAAGAGCAAUUGGAAGAAAACCACCUCCCUGCAUAUGCAGCACGCAAUGCCCAGGAACCUGUUGGCUGUCUGUGCAUUGCUGUCAGGUCCUUUUACAAGGAGUCCACAGCCAGCAUUGGCCAAGUAUAUACAUCUCUUGAUUAGGAUUGCUGCGAGAUUUUAGAAAGCAGUUUUGAAAGAUUAACAUGAGGCACAGGGCAGUCGAUGUAGUUAAGAAGCUUACUGUAUAACCAUAUGAUUUGGGGUUCGGCCUCAUUGUACUACACCUUGGACAAGUGUCUUCUGCUAUAUCCCCUGGCUGACUAAUGCCUUAUGAGUGAGUUUCAUAGACAGAAACUGUGUGGAAGCCCAUUGUGUGUAUGUGUAUAAAUAUAUAUAUAUAUAUGUGUGUGUGUGUAUAUAUAUAUAUAUAUAUAUAUAUAUAUAUAUAUAUAUAUUAAAAAUGGGGAAGGCUGUUUAUGGGAUUACCUUACGUUUCCUGUCCAUAACUGGUUUAGCUUUAUGGCGUAUUUUCAGAUCCCAAAACCUGUUGGCCCAAGACCUCUACAGGUUUUGGGAUCUGACGAUACACCAUAAAGCUAAACACUUUAUGGAUGAGAAAAUGGCCUUCCCCAUUUUUAAUAUAUACUGCUUUAUAUCUUAGAGUGUGGUUCUUUUUGGGAUUUAUGUUUUACAGACAAAAUAUAUAUAUAUAUAUAUAUAUAUAUAUAUAUAUUAUAAUAAAUUAGAGACAAAACCACUAUUAUGCAAAUCAAACAAAGAAAGACUUAAUCCAAUACAUAAAUUAAUUUAUAUUUAGAAAUUUAACAAUUAUUAAUAAUUGUUAAAUUUCUAAAUAUAAAUUAAUUUAUGUAUUGGAUUAAGUCUUUCUUUGUUUGAUUUGCAUAAUAGUGGUUUUGUCUCUAAUUUAUUAUAAUAUAAUAUUUUACUAUAAAAUUGGAUUCAAUCCUAAAUCUGAUUUUUCCCUGUAAGUUUGGAUUUAUUCCCUAAUAUUUAUUAUAUAUAUAUAUAUAUAUAUAUAUAUAUAUAUAUAUAUACUUGGAAAUGGAUGCGUGAUAUUUAAUUAAGUAAUGAUAAUAAAUAAUAUAUAUAUGUAUAUAUGGCUACAGGAUGUCACCAACUGUGUAAACAACAUGAAAUACGUAGAAAAACGAGUUAAUUACAUAAACAACAAGAGAAAAACUGGAAAACAGGACAAGUAAACAGACACGACUCUUCAUCAGUUGUUGGCUGUCUAUCUACUCCUCAUUUCGGACAUUCAGCCAACAACUGAUGAAGGGUCGUCUCUGUUUACUUGUCCUGUUUUCCAUUUUUUUUCUCUUGUUGUUUAUGUAUUUAACUCAUUUGUCUACAUAUUUCAUGUUGUUUACACAGUUGGUAACAUCCUGUACCCAUAUAUAUAUAUAUAUAUAUAUACACACACACACACAUACAUACAUGCAUACAUACAUACAUAUUUUUUUUCUCUCUCUAGUUUCAGCUCAGAGCUGUGGCCGUGCUGAUGCACCACCGUUUUGCUACACUGUUAUUAAGAGCCUUCUCUAAUAUGUGGCACUUGGUGAAGAAUUGAGUUUGAUAUAGCUACCCUCAUUUGCACCUCUUGCCGUGAGGUAGGUUCAUCUGGGACUCUCAACAGGAAGAGGUCCAGCUUUGAUUUGAAAACCCUAUGUCUACUUUGUGCAAGUUCCUCAAACUCUUUGGGAGAAUAUUAAAAAGCUGUGGGCCCUUGAAACCCAGGCUGUUGCAGUAACUGGUCCUGAAGUGUGAUGGCAUUGCUGGGAUCUUUGGCACUAUGCAGUGUCGUCCCAUUCUGGCAUUAGUAUAGCUUUUAAUGCCAAAAUUUGGCACAAUUCCUUCCAGGAUCUUCCAGAUAUAUAUUACUGCAUACCUCUCCCGUCUUCUCUCCAGGGAGUAGAGUCUUAGCUGUUUCAACCUUUCCCAGUAGCUGAGCUGUUGCAAUGAGACGAUCUUCUUUGUGAAUCUUCUCUGGAUUGCUUCAAGGUCAUAUCUGGUUCAAAUAUCCUACUUGUAUGUUUAUAUUGGUCAGCUCUGGGUUCUCUCAACUACCCUACAAUAUCAUCCUAAAAAUAAACAAUCACAUCAUCAAAAUCUCAAAGCUAUGAGAUAAUGCUUUAUUAAUUCAAAAUAAUGUGAAUAAAUAUGUGUUACAGUUGAGAGAGUAAUCUCAAUGUUAAAGGAUUAUAAUGAUUUCUUUUGUACUGUAAACUAUUUACCAUUUCUGUGAUGCCCCCCCCCCCUUCCCUUCAUGCCCUAAGCACGUAAUUAUUUUGGCUUAAUGGUUAAUCCAGUGCUGCCUUCAAGGUGGUGUCCCAGCAUGGUUACAGUUCAGUGACUGGAACAAGGGAAAAGCAAAGAAAUGUAUAUCAUCAUCAUCAUUUUCUCAUGGUAUUUGUUCUGCUUGACUUGCACCGACUCACUUUUGCUUCUCUCUGGUGAAUUCAAUCAUUCAGUGAUAGGCCUUUCAUCACCUUUUAACGAACAACGCUGUUGAUAUCAAAAUACAAUAAUCAACAUUGCUUUAAAGUCCAUUUUCCCGUGCUAGCAUGGAUCAGAGAGAAUCUCUUGAGGUGGGUUAUCUACAGCUAGAUGCCCUUACAGUCACCAACACUUAUCUGUUUCCAAGUAAGGUAAUGCUUUUGUGGAAGAUAGGAUAUGGACAUCACUUGCACAAUAGUGAUACUCAUUUACAACUAUGAGGCAAUGUCAAGAGGCAAGGAGAUAGUAAUAUAAGCACACAUACACAUGAUGAGCUUCUUUCAAUUUCCAUCUUCCAUAUUCACUCACAAGGCUUUGGUUGGCUCAGGGCUAUAGUAGAAAACAACUGCCCUAAGGCGGCGAGCUGGCAGAAACGUUAGCACACUGGGUAAAAUGGUUAGCAGUAUUUCGUCUGUCUUUAUACUUUGAGUCCAAAUUCGGCCGAGGUUGACUUUGCCUUUCAUCCUCUUGGGGGUUGAUAAAUUAAGUACCAGUUGCGUACUGAGGUUGAUUUUAUCGACUGCCCCCCCCCCCCCCAAAAAAAAAAUUCAGGCCUUGUGCUGAGAGUAGAAAAGAUUCUACAACAAUCUUUUGAGGCGACAAGCUGGCAGAAACGUUAGCAUUCCAGGCAAAAUGCCUAGCAGUAUUUCAUCUGUCUUUACAUUCUGAGUUCAAAUUCCACCAAGGUUGACGUGUGGUUGGAAAACAAAUUUCUUAACCACAUGGCCAUGCCUAUACACAGUGCCCUUCAUUUCCAAUAUUCUAUGAAAACAUGUGUCAUUGGGAAUGGGUGAAAGUUGGUGACAAGAAGUGCACUAGGCUGUAGAAAAAUGUGCCUCAACAAAUUCUGUCUGCCCCGUGCAAGCAUGGAAAAGAGGAUGUAAAGCAUGCACACACACACACACACACACUUUGUCCUAGAUUACUCAUCAUCAUCUUUUAAUGCCCAUUUUCCAUGCUGGUAUGGGUUGGAUGGUUUGACAGGAACUGGUAAGGUCAGAGAUUUGCACCAAGCUCCAGUCUUCUGUUCUGGCAUACUUUCUACAGCUGGAUGCCUUUCUUAACAUCAACCACUUUACAAAGUGUACUGGGUGCUUUUUACAUGGCACCAGCACCAGUGCUUUAUAUAUAGCAGUAGCAGCAUAGAUGUUCAUACAUGGAACCAGCACAGGUGCUUUGUAUGUGGCACCAACAUGAGUGCUUUAUAUAUCGCACCAGCAAAGUACUUUGUACGUGGUACCAACACAGGUACUUUAUUUGUGUUACCUGCAUGUGCUCCUUUUUCAUGGCACUAGCAUGGGUACUUUAUAUGUUAUACCAGCAGUGGUGCAUUUUGCAUGGUAUUUGUACUGGUGGUUUUUUGCAUGACACCAGUAUGAUCGUAAGCCCCAACAAUGCAAUUUCAUGAGGAAAGUUAUCUGAGUGGCCUUGCUUGUAUGAAGUUUGAUGUUUGAAAUAUUCCCACCAGAGCCAGAAAUGAAAUGAAAAUAGUGAGCUUGAAACACCAUGUGUUGCUGGCAAGGUUUUUGUAAAAAUAACAUAAAGAUAAGCAAUUUCAUCAUAACUUUCAUAUAAUAUUUCAAAAUAUAUUUAAACAACAGAUAUUUCAAAGGAAAAACAGGCUCAGAUUACCAGCUAAAUGAUCAGAAACAUGUAACUCAGAGCACAUCAUUUAUCUUUUACUUGUUUCUGUCAUUACACUGUGCCCAUACUGGUGCACUGCCUUGAGGAAAUUUAGUUGAACGAAUUGACCCCAGGGCUUUAUUUUUUAAGCUUGAUAGACUGAUACUUAUUCUACUGGUCUCUUUUGUUGAACUGUUAAGUUAUGGGAUGUAAACACAUCAACACUGGUUGUCAAGUGGCAGUGGAGGACACAGACACAAAGAUAUACACAUGCACACAUAAUGGGCUUCUUUCAGUUUCCAUCUAACAAAUCCACUCUCAAAGCUUUGGUUGGCCUGAGGCUCUAGUAGAAGACACUUGCCUAAGGCACCACACUGGGACUGAACUCCAAACCAUGUGGUUGGGAAGCAGACUUCUUACCACACAGCCAAGCCUGCAGUUAUGAAUGGUUCGGUUACAAUGCAUUAAAGAAGACUUGGUACUCGUGUAUUGAGUUCCGUAAUUUAUCUAAUACUUAGAAAAGUUUCAGCCAGAAUUGGUACAGACCAUCAUCAUCAUCAUCGUUUAACGUCCGCUUACCAUGCUGGCAUGGUUUGACUGAAGGCUGGCAAGCCAGAAGGCUGCACUGAUGUGGCAAAGUUUCUACAGCUGGAUGCUCUUCCUAAUGCCAACCACUCUGAGAGUGUCGUGGGUGCUUUUAUGUGCCACCUACACGAGGGCCAGUCAGGCGGAACUGGCAUCAGCUAUGCUCAAAUGGUGCUUUUUAUGUGCCACCUGCACAGGAGCCAGCCCGGCGGCACUGGCGAUGACCACGCUCACAUGGUGCUUUUUUUAUGUGCCACCGGCACGAGAGCCAGUCAGUGGCCCUGGCAAUGAUCACACUCAACCAUAACUAAAUUAAUAGCAUCACCAGGAAAAGACAUUUAAUGAUGUUUCACAUUACAGUUAUUCAUUAGGCACCAUAGCCCAUUGGAGUAAAGAGUUAUUGUUUGCAAAGAUUUAUCCGGGUGUAGGUGGUUUAUCUGGAAUUUAUUGGAGAUAUUUGUCCAGGAAGCAUUUGAAUGUUAUGAGAUCUUUUUCAUCUCUUACAUAUCUUGGUGUGAUGCUAAAGAGAGCAAUGUCAGUUGAGGUGAAAUAGUUUUGUCUUCAUGAUGCAAGCAUGAGUUUUGUAGAGGAUUGAUAUAUAUAUAUAUAUAUAUAUAUAUAUAUAUAUAUAUAUAUAUAUGGAACCUUGCUGUCCUCAAGAAGACCUGUCCACUAUUGCAGAAUGUAGUGAUGGUCCCACAUAAAAAGCACCCAGUACACUCUGUGAAGUGGUUGGCAUUAGCUGUAGAAAUUAUGCCCAAACAAACAGUAGGAGCCUUGUGCAGCCCCACCCUUCUGGGGCCUUACCAGCUUCUCCCAAACUGUCCAAACUAUGCUAGCAUGGAAAAUAGACGUUAAAUGAUGCUGCUGUUGUAUAUGUGGUCUGAUCAAUAAGUAUCUGGAUUGUUGCCAUAGUAAUGAAGCCAAAAUACGCAGAGUAAAGCCGCUUGGCACAGAUUGACCUUGGACUCUGCUGUGCAUGUGCACUAAGUUUUAAUGUUCCAGCUUACUUCUGCUGUUUACAGCAGUGCUUGGAGGGAAGGUGUGUAAUGUGUGAUCACUGCAUCGACCAUGACAGAGAAUGUUGAGCAGAGUAUCUGCAUCAAAUUUUUUCCCAAAACUUUGCAAUACCUGCUCAGAGGCCUAUACAAAGUUUUCAAAAAGUUUCCAUCAUUCUUGACACAAUCAAGGAAAUCUUGUGCUACUGAAACCCAGGUGUCUUUUUGGUCAGCUGGAAACAAUUUUGGCACAAACUUGGCAGACAUGCGUCUCAUACCCAAAUCUUCAGUGAUAACGGAAUGAACUGAACCGUAACUAAUCUGCACAUCCUCUGAUAAGUCAUGGAUGGUGAUUCGACAGUUUCCCCUCUCAGCUGCAUACACAGUUCUGCAGGUUGUGGGUCUCCCAGAACAUUCAUUAAUAUCGACAUUUUUUGGCCAUCUUGAAAACAUCCGAACCACUUGUACACUUGUGUGCAGCUCAUACACUCCUCUCCAUACACUUUCUACAAUUUUGCGUAGGCUUCUGAGCAGCUAUUGCCAUGACAACUUUUUCUGUCAUGGUCAAUGUAACAAUCACACACUACACACCUUCCUUCCGAGUACUGCUGUAAACAGAAGUAAGCUAGAACAUUAAAACUUUGUGCACAUGUAUAGCAGAGUUCAAGGUCAAUCUUUGACAAGUGGCUUCACUCUGUAUGCUUUAGCUUUGUUACUAUGGCAACAGUCUGGAUACUUAUUGAUCAGACCUUAUAUAUAUAUAUAUAUAUAUGUAUAUAUAUGGAUAAAUACACGCAUACACAUGUAUAUAAAGUGAGGUUAUUUUAAAGCAAGUUCAAGAAUAACAACUAAACAUUUAUUGAUGGUGUGAGUCAUUACUAAGAAUAGUCAAAUUUAUUGGAGAGUUUAUGUUGACUGGGAAAGUUCUAACAUUUAUUCAAUCACUGUUAAACAAACUUUACAAUAUGUGUGUGUGUGCAUGCAUGUGUAUAGGCACACCUUUUAUUUUGUCUAUAUAUAUUCAUAUAUAUUGUGUGUGUGUGUGUGUGCAUAUAUAUAUAUAUAUAGUAAAAUGCAUAUUUAUUUCUAUAUAUCAAUGUUAACAUUUGUUUAUCCAAGAUAAGUCGGAUGGUUCUACCAUGCAUCAUAUGACAUUUGUGUUGGUCUUUGUCAUCACAUCUGUGAGGCCUAGAUUCCUAAGCUCUGACAUCAUCACAUCUUCCCAUGACUACCACUCCUAUGUCUACCCACAAUAAACAACACAUGACACUUAAAAAAAAUUUUUUUUAUAUAACCAACCACACUUUGUCCAUUCUAGUAACAUAUCCUGACCAACUUCUCAUUUCCUUUAUAACACCUUUUCUGACCAUAUUUCUAACAAGACCUUAAUUAAAACUCAUAAGAGGCUAGCAGCCAACUGUUGUUGGUUUUGAACUCAUUAUACGCAGGUAUUUACUUGUUGAAAUUUAGGCCUAAAUAUAAAGAGCUGAAAGAAUUGCUGCAAGGCAUUUUGCCCAAUGCUCUAAUGAGUCUGCCGACCCGCCACCUUUAAGUAGAUUAUAAAUAUCAUCAUCAUCAUCAAAUGCAGCGUUUCUCAACCGGGGUUCCGCAAAAGGUUCCUAGGGGUUCCGCAAGAAAGAGUGAGAUAAGUUAAUGCUAAUUUCAUGAUUGUAAUAUUACUAUACAUGCACAACAUAUUGGUUACUGUAAUACAGACAUUAUCCUAUUAUGUUAUCAAAAAAAUAUAAUAACCAUAUAUAUAUAUAUAUAUAUAUAUUGGCACCUGUGUUGGUGGCACAUAAAAAACACCAUCCGAGCGUGGCUGUCUGCCAGCCUCGUCUGGCACCUGUGUCGGUGGCACAUAAAAAAACACCAUCCGAGCGUGGCCGUCUGCCAGCCUCAUCUGGCACCUGUGUCAGUGGCACAUAAAAUCACCCACUACACUCUCGGAGUGGUUGGCAUUAGGAAGGGCAUCCAGCUGUAGAAACACUGCCAGAUCUGACUGGCCUGGUGCAGCUUCGGGCUUGCCAGACCCCAGUUGAACCGUCCAACCCAUGCUAGCAUGGAAAGCGGACGUUAAAUGAUGAUGAUGAUAUAUAUAUAUUUAUGUAUGUAUGAUAUUUACCACAUGAACUAUGAUGAAAAUAAUAUGUGAAAGAUAUGGUAUAUAAUUUUGUUUUGUGCAGGUAUUCCUUGAGACAUGUAAUUUAUAUUAAGGGUUACACAAGGGUGAAAAGGUUGAGAAAUGCUGCUAAUGUCUGACUUCCAUGCUGGCAUAGGCUGAACAGUUUGACAGAAUUCAAUGAACUAGGACUGCUUUGGGCUCCAGUGUUUGCUUUGGAAUGCUUUCUAAACUGGGUUCCUUUCCUCAUGUUAACCACUUUACAGAAUGUUCUGGGUGCCUUUUUUUUUCUAAUAAAGUCACUAAGUAACUUACAAGACAAAGAAAAAGUACCCCCCCCCCUCCAUCACUGAGUGGAUUACAGAAGAGCUGGAGGUGACUUUGUGCCACAUGUUGAAAAGAGACAGGCACAUGUGUCUUGCUGUAGAAGAGACACAUGGCUACCCCAAAUUUUAUAAGAGGUGAGAGAUGAUGGAAAGAAGAUAAAGAUGUUGGUGACAAGAUGUGAAAGUGUGCUCUCAAGGUACAAGAAGGGGUUUACAAGAGUGAAUAGGGCUAUGAAUUGGGAAGGUGGUUUGUCUAUACCAUUGACACCAGUAUGAGACUGGUACUUUGUUUUAUUGACCCUGAAGCGAUGAAAGAUUAAGUUGAUCUCAUUGGGAUUUGAACAAUGAACUUGACAGAGCCAGAAGAAAUAUCCUUUCUACUAUAGGCACAAAGCCUGAAAUUUUGUUGUGGGGAGGCGCUAGUCGAUUAUAAUGACCCAGUGUUCAACUGGUGCUUAUUUUACCGACCCUGGAAAGAUAACAUGCAAAGGUGACCUCGACAAAAUUUGAACACUGAAUAUAAAAGCAGAUGAAAUGUGACAAAGCAUUUUGCCUGGCAUGUUAAUGAUUCUGCAUGUGGCUUAGUGGAUAGGGCAUUUGGCUCAUGAUAUUAAGAUCAGGAGUUCAAUUCUCAGUGAUGUGUUGUAUCCUUGAGCAAGACACUUUAUUUCACGUUACUCUAGUCUGCUCAGCUGGCAAAAAUGAGUUGUACCUGUAAUUACAAAGGGCCACCCCUUAGAGCUACAUUAAGGGUACAUGUGUUUGUGGAGUGCUCAGCCACUUGCACGUUAAUUUCAUGAACAGACUGUUCUGUUGAUCAGAUCAGCUGGAAUCCUCGUUGUCGUAAGCAAUGGAAUGCCAGUUAGUUAUUGCUAAUGAUUCUGCCUGCUCCCUACCUUGGAGCCUGAAGAAAUAUCACAAGGUGUUCUGUCCACUUUUCUUACAAUUGUUUCAAUCCAUUGUCCUUAAGUAGAUUAUAAUCAAAGUAACAUCCAUUAUUUUUGGUUAAUAUUGGUGGGUUUUGCUGUUUUGAUGGGUUGAGGGGGGUGGGAUCUGAAAUUGUGUUGGUUGUCACUUGAGAUGUUGACAUCAACCAUUGUCGUCAGCCUCUCUCUCUCUCUCUUACAGGAUGAUCACUCAAGUCUUUGAUGCUGUUAAUUCUCAGCAAGCAAACUGUUCUUCAUUAAUCUUCAGCUUGUUUCACACUAAGCAUUAAAUAAAGGUCACCAUUGUUCCCUGCUAAUAAGCAGACUUUGUUGCAUCGAAGAAGUGUCCGGGUUUGGCUGAACUAGGAUAGUUGUUGAUAGGAGAUGACUCCUUGCUGCACAUUGCUGACGUCAAAAGUAGUUAUUGUGCAUCAGAACUCAUUGUUGUCAUAGCAGCAGCAGCAGCAGCUGUAGUCUAGCCUAACUCUGCUGGUACAUAGUUUAUUGUCUUCGUUUACCAUUUAUUAGUUCUUUAGCUGUGUCAUGAUUGAAUGGAAAAAGUGAAGAAUUCUAGCGGAGUUGCUACCAAAGUGACUCCUUCAACUGCAGGUUAGUUCGGCUGUCUGUGUAUGUGUGUGUAUGUACAUAUUGUGUGCAUGUGUAUAUGUAAUUGUAUGUGUGUAUGUAAAACAAAUACCGUUUCAGUACACUUUUUGGUAAUAUUUUUGUUUGCAGUUGUUCAAAUAACUGUAACCCUGUUUCGUUCGGCAUUGAAUUGUUGUGAUAUUUCGAAAUAUUGUGUGGAACAUGAGUGUUAAAUGACAAUAAUGAUGUAAGGGUUACAGUGUUUAAAACAUCAAACUGUUUUCCUAUUCAAAGAAAAAAAAAGUUUGUAAUCCAGAAUCUCUUUUCUUAUCUUAUCUAACACUACUUCAAUGUUAAAUUCUUCCUUUCAGCAAUAAUUUCAUCUUCCUCUUUCCUUUCUCAACUCAGCAUCAUAUUUUCAAAUUAAAUAAUUCUCAACUUUCUUUCUCUCUUUCAUAUCUAAACAAUUGCUGCUACUGUUGUUCUUAACCCCAGAUCAAUCUUUAAUGAGCAGACCUUAUGAUGAAAGACAUUCCAGCGAUGACCAUUCCAUUGUUUUCUUUUAGACAUAGUGUAUCUAGCUCUACCUCUCUUUAUUUUAAGUAACAGGGUGUGGUUUGAAGGGGGAUUUGGCAGCUAUUUCUAGCAAAUCAAGUGACCAUGUAGUAGCCCUCCUCCUCAUAUACUUUUGUAUACAUUUGAUUUUUCACAUUGGUUUAGGGUUUUAAAAUUUCAGGGUGCAUUUGAAUAGGAAGAGAAGCAAUUGAUAUUAAUGCACUACAUAUUAAUUACAUUUCUUUGUAUUAAUUAUUGAGUGGGUUUGCUUUGUUUAUUCUCUUUUACAUGUUUCAGUCAUUUGACUGCGGCCAUGCUGGAGCACCGUCAACCCCAGGACUUAUUCUUUGUAAGCCCAGUACUUAUUCUAUUGGUCUCUUUUGCUGAACCGCUAAGUUUUGGGAGCAUAAACACACCAACAUAUAUAUAAUAAUUUUCAUAUUACUAUUUGUCAAGCGAUGGUGGGAGGACAAACACAGAUACAAAGACACAAAUACACACACACAUGAUAGGCUUUCAGUUUCUGUUUACCAAAUCCACUCACAAGGCUUCGGUCAGCCCAAGGCUAUAGUAGAAGACACUUGCCCAAGUUGCUAUGCAGUGGGACUGAACCCGGAACCAUGUAGUUGAGAAGCAAACUUUUUACCACACAGCCAUGCCUGCGUUUGUAAAUUUUUGUUUUCUCUGUGGUGGUAUUUUUUUUUUUUAAUUCUGUAUUAGUUUGGAUUAUCUCAUUAUUUGGUGUUCAGCUAAACUAAAUACAAUAUAUUAUCAUAUCACAUCAUAUCUCAUUUGACACCACCUCACCUGAGACCACCACCUCUGAAGAUUCUAAGGUCCAAAAUCUUUUGUUAGUAAAUAUGAGUUCAAUCAUAGUUUUAGGUAAGAAACUUCUGUUUUGUUCCAAAUACUGGCUUAAUAAGGAAAAAAUUACUUUAUUAACAACCGAUGUGGUGUGUUUAUGUCCCCGUAACUUAGCGGUUCAGCACAAGAGACCGAUAGAAUAAGUACUAGGUUUACGAAGAAUAAGUCUUGGGGUCGAUUUGCUCAACUAAAAGGCGGUGCUCCAGCUUGACCACAGUCAAAUGACUGAAGUUAAAGAGUAAAAGAGUAGAGUAACAUAUGGUUUGGAAUAAUCAUAAAACACUUUACCAUCAUCACUUAACAUCCACUUUUCUAUGCUUACAUGGGUCGGAGGAAACUUUUUGAAGUAGAUUUUUCUAUGGCUGGAUGCUCUUGCUGUUGCCAAUCCUUCCCUAUUUCCAAGUAAGGCAAUAUUUUCCCAUGUUCUCCAGACAACAAACAGCUGAAUGGUUAGACACGCUUUUAUGGAGCAAUGUAAACUAAUGAGACCCUUUGUAUGAACGAUGCCUUUUGUUAACAAUUAGUGUGCAUCUGUUGUCAAGACAAUAAGAAAAUGUGCAAAAUACACACAUAUGCAGGAGUGGCUGUGUGGCAAGAAGCUUGCCUUCCAACCACGUGGUUCUGGGUUCAGUUCCACUGCAUGGCACCUCGGGCAAAUGUCUUCUACUAUAGCCUUGGGCCAACCAAAGCCUUGUGAGUGAAUUUGGUAGACGGAAACUGAAAGAGACCUGUUGUGUGUGUGUAUAUAUAUAUAUAUAUAUACAUACAUAUUUUCCAUGCCGGUGGCACGUAAAAAGCACCAACCAAUCGUGGCCAUUGCCAACCUCCCCUGGCACGUAAAAAGCACCAUCCAUACGUGGUCGAUGCCAGUGCCACCUUGACUGGUUUCUGUGCUGGUGGCACGUAAAAAGCACCAACCGAUCGUGGCCAUUGCCUGCUUCCCCCGGCACCUGUGCCAGUGGCACGUAAAAAGCACCCACUACACUCACGGAAUGGUUGGCAUUAGGAAGGACAUCCAGCUGUAGAAACACUGCCAGAUCAGACUGGAACCUGGUGCAGCCUCCUGGCUUCCCAGACCCCGGUCGAACCAUCCAACCCAUGCAAGCAUGGAAAACGGACGUUAAACGAUGAUGAUGAUUUGUGUGUGUCUGUGUUUGUUUCCCAACCAUCACUUGACAAUUGAUGUUGGUGUGUUUAUGUGCCCCGUAACUUAGCAGUUCAGCAAAAGAGACCAAUUGCAUAAGUACCAGGCUUUCAACGAAUAAGUCCUGGGCUCGAUUUAUUCGACUAAAGGUGAUGCUCCAGCAUAGCUGCAGUCAAAUGACUGAAACAAGUAAAAAAGAAUGGAGUGCACUGGUUGUCAGGCGGGCACUGGCUGGAUGAGACGUGCGUAGUCGGCGGCGAGACAGGCAGAUACUCACAUGCAAGUGUGGCUGUGUGGUAGAGAAGUUUGCUUCCCAGCUACAUGGUUUCAGGUUCAGUCCCACUGUAUGGCACAUUGGGUGUUUUCUACUACGGCCCUUGGUCGGCCAAACCCUUGUGAGCCAAUUUGGUAGAUGGAAACUGAUAUACAUGAACAUGUAUAUGUUUGUGCAUGGAUGCAUGUGUUUUGUUUCCUUCUUUUGAUAUUGCAUGACAGUCAUGAACAAGCAUCACUCUCAUACAAAUGGUGUCCUUCUUUAGCAAUCUUCUGUGUAAACAUGUCCAGCCAGAGGGAAAUAUUGCCUUAUUUGGAAACAGAUGGAAGUUGGCAACAUGAAGGGCAGCCAACCAUAGGAAAUCAUCCUCAGCUAAUACCGUCCAUCCUAGACAAGCCUGGGGAGAUGGAUGUUAAAAUGAUGUUGAUGAUGAUGAUGAUGAUGACACAAAUAUACUUUAUUAUUAAUAAUAUCAAUGAAAAUAUCCUUUUUCAUAUAAAUCUUGGAGAAUAAUUAUCUGUAAUAUCUAACGCUUCCUCCAAUUUCAAGAGUUGGUUAUUUAUCUAACCAAAGAUUUGUUACAGCAAGAUCCUGUGUUUUAAACCAAAGCCUAUCAGGUUCUUCUGUAUAUUUUGCAUUUUUCUCAAGUUACUGGUUCUCUUUCAUCUUCCUGAUAAUUUCUUUUACAAGAAUUACUUGUACUAUGCACAUAUUAAGUGCAGGCAUAACUUGUGUGGUUAAAAAGAUCAUUUUGCAAUCAUGUGCUUCUGGUUUCAGUCCUACUGUACAGCACUUAAGGCAAAUGUUUGCUAUUUUAGCUCUGUGUAAAUUAAUGUGAGUGAAUCUGGUAUGUGGAAUCUGUGUGGAAGCCUUUUGUGUAUGUAUAUGUGUAUAUAUGUGUGUAGCUUUGUGUUUGUCCCCUGUUACUGAUUCACAACCAAUGUGUGGUUUGUUUACAUCCCUGCAAAUAGAAGAGGCUGAAAGAAUAUGAAAGAAAUAAGGACUGGGGUGGGUUUGUUUGACUGGACCCUUCAAGGCAGUGCCCCAGCAUGGCCAAACAGUUUUCAGAAGAAAAUAUUCUAAACCUGAAAUAUACUUCUAUACAAAGGUAAAAGUACAAACCAUCAACUAGAAUUAUUUCUUGUAACUUGCAUUGUUUCGGUUUCAAAAAAAGACAAUGUUUAUGGAAAUCUGACAAUACUUCAUGCAAAUUAUACUAAUCAUCAUCAUCAUUAUCAUUUAACGUCCGUUUUCUGUGCUAGCAUGGGUUGGAUGGUUCGAUCGGGGUCUGGGAAGCCAGGAGGCUGCACCAGGUUUCAGUCUGAUCUAGCAGUGUUUCUACAGUUGGAUGCACUUCUUAACGCCAACCACUCCGUGAGUGUAGUGGGUGCUUUUUACAUGCCACCGGCACAGGUGCCAGGGGAGGCUGGCAAUGGCCAUGAUUGGUUGGUGCUUUUUACGUGCCACCGGCACAGAAGCCAGUGAAGGUGGCACUGGCAUCGAUCACGUUUGGAUGGUGCUUUUUACAUGCCACUGGCACAGAUAUAGCAACUACAAUUUCCAUUUGAUCUUUAUUUUGAUGUUGAUAUACUUGACUCAAUAGGUCUCCUCAAGCACAGCAGGUCACCUUACGAUCCAAGGUAAGCACAGCAGGUCGUUCUGCAAUCCAAGUACUUUGGAUGGGCUGGGGCUAUUCGAAACUGGUGCAGGAAACAGCCAUGAACUCACUGAAAAUUUCAAAAAUUGAACUGGAGCAUGACAAAGGAACAAUUGGAAAAUUCAUACACAAGAUAUGGACAUGCUCUUUCCUUGUCAGUUAUCAUACAAAAGAAUUAUUACAAUUUCUUGCCUAGCACAUCUCCCAUGACUUUCGGAAACAUUUUUUCACUCUAAGAGUUGCUGAAGUAUGGAACAAACUGCCGGCAUCAGUUGUUAGUUGUCGGAGCACUGCAUCCUUCAAAACUUACAUGCUUCCUGAGAUUCGCCAACACUACACCUGAUUUUCUCUCCUCCAUACACACACAAGCAUGUAUCUGACUCAUACACUGUUCACUUCCCAGACAUUUGUACAUUGCUUCAUAUACUUUAUAUGCACUUUUGACAAGUUGUGGUGCACCUGAGCAUUAUUGUAUACCUGAGCACUGUAUACAAUAAUUUCAUUAUUAUUAUUUUAUUUAGAUCUCAUUUCGUGAGAUCUGUUGAUUUUCAUGAUUUUUUCUUAAAAAUCAGUAGAUUCUUGUUUUAUUUAUUUAUCUAUUUAUUCUUUUGUUCUUUUACUUGUUUCAGUCAUUUGACUUUAGCCAUGCUGGAGCACCGCUUUUAGUUGAGCAAAUUGACCCCAGGACUUAUUCUUUGUAAGCCUAGUACUUAUUCUAUCAGUUCCUUUUGCCGAACUGCUAAGAUACGGGGUACAUAAAUACACCAGCAUUGGUUGUCAAGCGAUGAUGAGGAGGGGGGAACACACACAUACGCACACACAUGUAUACAUGACGGGCUUCUUUUAGUUUCUGUCUACCAAAUCCUCUCACAAGGCUUUGGUCAGCCCGAGGCUAUAGUAGAAGACACUUGCCCAAGGUGCCAUACAGUUGGACUGAGCUAUGUCGUUGGUAUGCAAGCUACUUACCACACAGCCACUCAUGCGCCGAUUUAUUUGUUUCUUUUUUUGAUGUAUUGAUGAAUUUUCUUAAAUGAUAUCGUGGAUUAAUUUAUUUUCAAAACAAGUAAAAGAUAAUAUUGAAUUUUCUUCCAGUUUCCUUUAUGUGCACUGAACAAAUCUGUAAGAUUGAGGCUAGUUACUAUAACCACAUUAGAAGUCACCUCAAUUAAUAAAACUUAGACCGAGACAGACAUAACUACCAAGACUAUGUCUUUGUCAUAAUUUUUGCCAUCUUCUCCCUUCAAAGCUUAUUUAAACUGUUUGUUUCUGGAAGCUUUUUGGCUGAAAAUAUUAGCUCACUUUUAGUUCCAUGCCAACUUCUGUUCAUAUUUAACUUCAAACAAUUGAUUUUCUAAUUCUUGUUACAUUGAACAAAAUGCUUUGACCUCUUCAAAUCCAUCUCAUCUACAACAGACUAUCAUCCUAUGAUAAAAUUCCCUACUUUAAAACAAUCUAAAUUUAAGCUAAGCCCUUCAAUCCCUAUGGAGCAUCAACCAUUGACAACCUUCUCCUCUGUUCUUGACUCUAGGCUAUCUUUUUUACUUCCCUCCAAUUGGAUCCCUGCUUUUUCAGCUUUGCCUCAUAACUCUCCCUCCAUAUUUAUAGGGCACCAUCUUUACCACCUAUCCAGUGGGUUUCAGUUCCAGGUAGUGUUAGAAGGGGAGUCUGCCUUGCAGCUUCAUUUUCGAGUUUAUUGUACCAUGUCCUGUGUUUCCCUGAAGGAAAAGCCUUUCUCUCCCAGGUCAUGUUGGUUUCCAGUUGUCAUCAGUGCUUCUGUAACUUUACUUUUUCAAUGUAAAGCUGUUGGCCUUACACAAAACCAUUUUUACCUCCGGGAAGAGGUUAUCCCCCCUCACCAUCAUUUGGCUUUUAUCCUUUGACUUGUCUAGCAUGGGAACCCCAACUAGGAGCUUACAGUUCACUGGCAUAGCUGUCAGGGUCACUGAGACACAUGAGCCAUCACCUGGUAACAUGGACUGAACCUUGUAGUGGAGUCUAAUUUAGAAACUUGCAUCAAAACUUCAUGUUCAUUGAUGUCCCAAAUACCAGCUUAAUAGUGAGUUAUUUUACUAAAUUCUCCAUUUUCAAAAUUAAGCAGUAUAUUUCAACAGAAAUAAUACGGUAUCAAAAGAGUUAAAGGAUCAUCUCAGAUUGCAAAAAGAAACACCUGAUAUCUUCCAUUUCCAAAAGUUUUCUCAACUCAGCUCAGCCUAUCCCAGCCUUCAUUCCCUUAUCAUUUGACACAUUACUGUAAAACACACACACACAGAUGCUUGCAGUGUACUGUUGCAGUAUAUUCCUGACAUUUUUUGUUAUAUAAUUGCCUUCAAGCUGCAUCAUUAAACUGAAGGUGGGAUUGGCUUACAGAGUUACAUAGUUGGGAGCGAUACAGUUGCUGGAUGAUUAUGGUGAUGAUGUUAAUAAUAAUAAUAAUAAUAAUAAUAGUAAUAAUAAAUAGUAUUAAGUGAUGACACAUCAGUGAGGAGCGUGAUGUUGCUGAUAAUUGUAUACAACACUCGUUAACUUGUUAGAUUAGUUACUCUAGAAUGUUUUUGUAAUCUCUGUGUUUGUUAUGUUAAAAUAUCAAACAUAACUUUGAAGUAUUCUAGCUGUUUGCUUAUCAAGACAGUUAUUAAUUAAUCAAGUCUUAAUUAAGUGAUCAGUAUCUUGAGUUUAGUUUUUAACUGUUUGACUGUUGUUUUACAUUUUUAGACUGACCGCCAUUUAUAAACAAAUGAUAAAACAAUCAGUAAACGGGACUGCUAUGUAGUUUGCUCAAAUGGCUAGACAUAGUAGCCAAAUCUCCCUUAAAACCAUACCCAACAACUGUUUUGAAAAAGAAAAAGGACACAUUAGAUAAUGUAGUCUUAGAUAUAGUCUAUCUAGAAUUAAAUUAAAAAAAAUAAUGGGCUCGUCAUGAUUGGAAUGCAUUUGAUUAUUGGUCACUCCAUUAAGGGUUGACUUAGGAUUAAACAACAGAACAAAAUAAUUUCAAUUUUUUGUUAUUUUGUGUCUUAACAAAUUUGGGUUUUUGAAUACCCUGCUGACCCUUCACCCUUAUUUUUUCUCUUAGUGUGUUGAGAGUAUGCUUUCUUUCAUUCAGUGGCUCUCAGCUGGGUUCCAUAUGACCCAGGGGUCUCUGUAUAAGAUUUUAGCAGGGUCCAAGCAAACAAAGUAGUAAAUGGGGGACCUAAGUAUUUUAGGGGUCCUUGAAAAAUGUUUGCUUUGGAUGUAUUUUUUGCAAGAGACAACUAAGUUUCUUUCUUUAAUGUUUUAAAUAGUUCAACGUGCUUCCAGCCACUGAAAUGUGUUUUCUCAGAGAGUUCUAGAGCAAACCUAUGCAAAUGAACGGGUGAAAAACAAAAUCGGAAUUUUGAAAGAAGUAUUUUAAAAAUUAGUUUUUAAGCACCAUUUGGCUAUGGGGGUCCACCAGAGUAAAAUAACCAAGAGGACAGUGUCCCUGAAGUUUGUAGAGUGUCCUGGACCAGUAACAUCGAUAUAAUUGAUGUCCAGCUUCAACAUCUGGAGUUCAGCAUCUUUCUCUCUCUUUGAUCAGUGACAUUAAGUUAAUGUCUUGUCUCAACAAUUGCAAGAUAUUGUCUUUUUGGCCAGUGAUAUUGAUGUCCAUCCUCAACAUCUUUAGGUCAAUGUCUCCCAGACCAGUGACAUUGGUGUGGCUGAUGCCCAGUUGCAAUACCUGCAGGCAAAAUAUGAUCAGAUCUGGUACAGACACAUUAACGGAAUAAACUCUGUUGAUGACACCCAAUGCUCAGGUAAUAGAGGUGGUAUUAAUUUAAGUGAACCAUAAAAUAUAUUUGGGAAGAGAAUUUUUGUUUAUUCUGAACAGAAGCAGUCAUUUCCUGAAUAUCUUCCAAACCUCUUGGCAUUCAGUGAUACAUUGUUUACACUGUGUCUGACCUCAGUGCUAAUUAUAUCGGUUUAAUUAUUGAUGUUCAUCUUCUAUCAUAUGUGAACCAUCAGAAAGACCAAUCUUGAAGUGAUUCUGGCCUAGUUAGGCUGUUAUGAUCACCAUUAUCACAAAUACAGCACUUCUUUACAAAUCCACUCUUUAAUCUGCAGGAAAUGAUAUGGUGCCUGUGAAACGGCCAAAUGCUUGUGAUUUUGUGCAUUCAAAGACUUAAAUUUACUGGAACAUAAAACAAUGGAAGCCAUUCAUUACUUGUUAUGGAUGUUGUUUAGAUACAGUUUGAACCAGGUCAAGUAGGUAUUCAUUAUUUAUUGUAUCCUUUAUUUAAGGUAGUAUAGUGCAAUUUUGGGGAUAUUUGGCUGCUAUUUCUAACACCUAAAGUGACCACAUACAAACUCCAUCAUUAACUUACACAUUUAUUCAGUUUUAAGUGUUAGUCUAUCUGUUGUGUAGAAGUCAUGUGUUCCUUGCUUUUAAUUCCAGUUUAAUGAAGAAUUUGGUAACAUAAUCUUGUUAUUAAAGCUGGUUUUUGGAACAUAAAUUGAUAUAAAAGUUUGAUAGGCUUUGAUUUAUUCCUUUAUUCCAUUUGCAUUCAAACUGGCCAUAUCCAGUCAGAAUAGUUUACCUGUUGAAGAUGAUGAUGACUGGCUAUAUCUAGCCUCUCACACAUCUACAAUGUCAUUCUAAAAAUAUACAGUCAUAUCAAAAAUCUCAAAGCUACAAGAUAGUUAAUUUUUAAAAAUUCAAAACAAUGUGAUUAAAUAUGUAUUACACUUGACUGCGCAAUCUGAAUACUAAUAGGUUAAAACAAGAUGUUUGUAUCUGGAAUCGGGGUUUGUCUCAAGGUGGGUUGGUAUUGAAAAGGUUAAGCCAUAAUUUGGCAGUUAUUGCAGAUCAAAGAUGACUGAGAGAUAAAGAAUUGGUGUGAAUAAAAAGCUAAACACGAUAUUUGGACAUAAUUACUGAAGGAGUCUGGAGAGUGCAAACAAUCAUGUCUUUCACCAGCAAAUUGUUUUAUGGUCUUUCCUUUAACCUUUUACUACUUACAGUUGUGUAUCAUAAUUGAUCUGGCAACAGAGAAGACCUGGCAAGCCAAGUGAGACUAUAGCCAUAGGCAAUAUGCUGUGCUUGAGAAGACCUGUUAAAUCCAGUGAAAUUGUUGUCGUGGUUGAUGCCAGUGCUGUCUGACUUGCACCUAUGCUGGUGGCACAUAAAAAGCACCAUUCAAGUGUAGUUGAUGCCAGUGCCACCUGACUGGCUCCCAUGCUGGUGGCACAUAAAAAGCAUCAUUCAAGCGUGGUUGAUGCCAAUGCUGCCUGACUGGCUCCUAUGCCGGUGGCACAUAAAAAGCACCAUUCAAGCAUGGUUGAUGCCAGUGCUGUCUGACUGGCUCCCGUGCUGGUGGCACAUAAAAAGCACCAUUCAAGCGUGGUUGAUGCCAAUGCCACCUGACUGGCUCCCAUGCCAGUGGCACGUAAAAAGCACCAUUCAAGCGUGAUCAAUGCCAGUACCGCCUGACUGGCUCCCAUGCUGGUGGCACAUAAAAAAGCUCCAUUCAAGUGUGGUUGAUGCCAAUGCUGCCUGACUGGCUCCUGUAAAAGCACCCACUACACCCUUGGAGUGGUUGGUAUGAGGAAGGACAUCCAGCUGAGAAACUUUGCCAGAUCAGAUUGGAGCCUUGUGCAACCUCCUGGCUUGCCAGUCCUCAGUCAAACUGUCCAACCCAUACCAGCAGAUAUCAAAUGUUAAUGAUGAUGAUAAUCACUUCAGUUGUUAAUUCCUUUCCCACUAUAACAUAUUUUAUGACACCUCACUACACUUAAUGCUCGAUGCUUCCAUCAGACUAAACAGCAUUGAUUCUUUUAUUAUCAACCAUAAUUCUUGAUACUAAGCUACUUCAGACUGCUCCUGCUUCUAUGAUAUAAAAGCAUUGGUAUAAAAGUACUGGUGAUGGUUCUGCAUAAAAAACUCUCAAUACACUCUGUAAAGUGGUUGGCAUUAGGAAGGGAAUCCAGCCAUAGAAACCAUGCCAAAACAGGAACCUGGUGCUGCCUCCUGGCCUUGUCCAACCUAUACCAGUAUGGAGAAUGGAUGUUAAAUGAUGAUGAUGAGUUUGUUUGUUUUUAAAACUUAAACGAUUGCAGUAUUUAAUCCUAAAUAGAGAAAGAUUAAAUAGAGCUUUCGAGAUGAUAGUGAUGCUCAGAUUUAUGGGAUUUGCAUAAUUUUUAUUUGUAAUGUUUGGUGAUUAUUUUUCCAAGAUCUUCCAGAUAAUAAGACUACUCUUUCAAAAGAAAAAGGAAAAGAUAUUCAGUAGUUAACCAUUUUGAUACCAACCUACCUGAGGUUGCACCUGGUUCUAUGAUACAAACUUCCUGUUUUAAAGUGGUCUAAAUUAAAUCUUUCCAUCAAAAUUUCAUGUUAAUUUAUAUUCCAAACACGAGUUUAAUAAUAACACAAUUAUUUUACUAAAUUCUUCAUUAUUUUAAAAAUUAAUUGGGACAUUUCUAUGUGGUUGUUUAUUAAGCUAGAAAUAGCAAGGAUGAUGUGGGUUAUAUUUGAAAGCCUAUAACAUACCAAGCAGGCAUACCAACAAAUUCACUGCUGAAUUUCUUUUUUCCAGUAACUUGAAAUCAUCUUCAGAUUAGGUGCGGGUAAUUUGAAAGUGAUUUCAUCCUCGUCCUUAUCAUUUCACAUUAUCUCAAAUCCUUCCUCAAAUGUUCAUCACCUUGCUGGAAAAAUAAACUUUGUUUUCUGUGUGUGUGUGUGUGCGCACAUUAGGUAUACAUGUGUACUUUACAGAAAAAGUGUUAAACAUCAACUUUGUUGGAGGAGUGGCUGUGUGGUAAGUAGCUUGCUUACGAAUCACAUGGUUCCAGGUUCACUCCAACUGUGUGGCACCUUGGGCAAGUGUCUUCUACUAUAGCCUCGGGCCGACUAAAGCCUUGUGAGUGGAUUUGGUAGACAGAAACUGAAAGAAGCCCAUCGUAUAUAUGUAUAUAUAUAUACAUGUGUGUCUGUGUUUGUCCCCACAACAUCGUUUGACAACCGAUGUUGGUGUCUUUAUGUCCCUGCAACUUAACGGUUUGGCAAAAGAGACCGAUAGAAUAAGUACUAGGCUUACAAAGAAUAAGUCCUGGGGUCGAUUUGCUCAACUAAAGGCGGUGCUCCAGCAUGGCCACAGUCAAAUGACUAAAACAAGUAAAAGAGUAAAGUGCAUAAAUAUAUUAUUUUGUAUAAUAAAUGUGUAUGAAAUAUUUUGUUUUGUAUAGAAAUAUAUUUCAUUUACAUGUCUGUGUAUUAAUAUAUUUUUUGUAUAAUAUGUAUUCUGAUUGAUUUGUUACUAAAAAAAUUGGAGGCUCAGAAUCUCGUGUUUGUUUUAAAGGCAUCAUAAAAAUGUUAGUUAUAUCUAUUAGAAUCAUCCGUAAGUUUUCCAAUACAUCCCCUGUGUAACUUAUUUCUUUUCCAUCAAUGUAUUUGUACAUUUUAAUAUUAAUAGUAUUUAGAUGCAGCACAAAAUUUUGUCAGUGAACAGGUCAUGGUCUCAAAGCGACGAAAAUAUUUUGACAAAUUAAAUUUAAAUAUUGAAGUGAAUUUAAUGGUUUUUGUGUGUUUUUAAAUGGCUUAUAAACACUUUCCACACUGCAGUAUUAAUAACCUUAUAUAAAUACACAACUACAGACAUACAGAGAUGGGAAAUGAUAUUUUUUUUAUUCCUGUUCUUGAUAUGAACAGUGGAGGUUCCAGCAAAGAAUUUAACUAUUUGGAAAUAAAGUAGAGAUGGAGAUGGAAAUGGAUAGAGAAGGCUGUAAGACAUUAAAAAAAUGCUAUCUCACAGUUUAAGAUUUUGAAAAAUGUUUGCAAUUAAUUAAACUUAAUCAUUUCUACAGCUGUUUCUACAGCUGGAUGCGUUAGGAAGGGCAUCCAGCUGUAGAAACACUGCCACAUCUGACUGGCCUGGUGCAGCCUUCGGGCUUCCCAGACCCCAGUUGAACCGUCCAACCCAUGCUAGCAUGGAAAGCGGACGUUAAACGAUGAUGAUGAUGAUGAUGAUGAUGAUUUAGCUUUAUGGGUUGCCUUUCCAGGUACCAAGCCUUUUGGUUGCUUCUUGAGACACAAGAAUAUGUACACCUAUUCUGAAAACCAGAAAUCUUUAACAUCAGCUCUGCAUCAUCCCUUAUAAAAGUGCCAUAAUAUUUUAAGUUCAAGUACUUUGUUGGGUCAAUUUCCUAAUGAGAUACCACCUGUAGGAUUGUGGAGAUGAGGUUCAAUUGAUUAUUCAGUAUUUGAUUAAAAUUUUGGACUCUGUUGUUGGACAUGGUCUUCUGUUAAAAUGGCCAGGCAUCUUCAACUUGAGGAGUGGAGUUAACAGAGAGAAACUGAAUGAAAGCCAUUGUGUGUGUGUGUGUGUGUGUGUGUGUAUACACAUUAUCAUCAUAGUUGUUUAAUGUCUGUUUUCCAUGUUGGUAUGGGUUGGACAGUUUGACUGAGGACUGGCGAGCCAGAAGGCUGCACCAGGCUCCAAUCUGAUCUAGCAAAGUUUCUACAGCUGGGUGUCCUUAUGCCAACCACUCCGAGAGUUUAGUGGAUGCUUUUACAUGUCACUAGCAUGAGUGCCAGUUUGUCGGUACUGGCAACGGCCAUGCUCAAAAGGUGUUUUUACGUGCCACCUGCAUGGGAGCCAGUCCGGUGCCAUUGGCAAUGACCACGCUCGAAUGUUGUUUUUCACAUGCUAUCGGCACAUGUGCCAGUAAGGUGAUGCUGGCAACGAUCACACUUAAAUGGUGCUUUUUACAUGCCACCAGUCAACGGCCCUGGCAUCAAUCAUGCUCAGAUGGUGCUUUUAAUGUUCCAAAGGCACAAGUGCCAAUCAGGCGGUACUGUCAUUGGCCAUGUCAGUGAUUUUGAUUUCACUUGCCUCAACAGGUCUUUGCAAGCAGAGUUCAUUGUGCAAUGAAUGAGGAGUACUCAUAAGUGGGCUGGUUAUACACCACUGGCAUAGGCCACAAGGUAAUGGUCUCACUUGGCUUACCGGGUCUUCUCAAGCACAGCAUGUCUCCAAAAAUCUUGGUCACUAGUCAUUGCCUCGGUGAGAUACAAUUCAACACGUGCAGCUGCUAAUCUAGACAUAUUUUUCCCCCACUCUCCAUCUAUUUUCUCUUCCAUUUUUCCUGGGUUUCAAAGUAAUACACCUUGUUUGUUACUCCUUCACUUGCCUCUGUCUUUUGUUUUUUGUACAACUUUGAACCAUAAAUUUACAUAUAUGUAUAUAUAUAUGUGUGUGUUUGUGUGUACUAUUGUGUACAUAUAUACAUAUUCUCUGUGUGUAUUUGUGUAGACAUCAUACAAUGGUCGUAGAUGAGCAUGGUUGUCAUAUGAGUGAGGUUGUUCAUUACUAUCCUUCUGUAAAAUACAAGUCUAAGACAUUUACCACCACCACCACAAAGACAAUUACUUCUGAGGAUAACAGAUGAUGAUUUAAAAUUUCUUAAUAUAUUGGAGAAUGGGUAAUUAACCAAGCAGGGUAAUUGUUCUAGGAGGUAGUGGUCGUAGGGGGUAACUGUCCUGAUACAGUAAAAUACAUGCCCAGCUAUGGGAAAAUAUUUCCUUGUUUGGAAACAGGUGAGGGUUGGCAACAAGGCAGGCAUCCAGCCAUAGAAAAUCUGUUUCAACAAAUUCCAUCUGAUCCAUGAAAGCAUGGAAAGGUGGACAUUAAAUGAUGAUGAUGAUGAUAUAUUUUAAACACUUACCACUUUACUAUUUUAAUUUCCUUUCAGAUUCCUCAUAUACUCCAAAUGUUUCAACUCUCUUGUAAUACUUACAUCAAGUACUGAAGAAUGUGGCAGCUUCUGAGAGCUUGUGUCUCUCAGUUGAAUCACAAAACAUACCAGGUAAGUUACAGGUUUUCUUUUAUUUUUUUACUUGUUUCUCAUUUGACUGUGGCCAUGCUACGGCACUGCCUUUAGUCGAACAAUUUGACUUCAGGGCUUAUUCUUUGUAAGCCUAGUAUUUAUUUUAUUGGUCUCUUUUGCUGAACUGCUUAGUUACAAAUACAGUUGUCAAGCAAUGGUGGUGGGGAUAAAAACACACAUACAAUCACACGACGGGCUUCUUUUAGUUUCCGUCUACCAAAUCCACUCGCAAGGCUUGGGUCGGCCUGAGGCUAUAGUAGAAGACACUUGUCUAAGGAGCCGCACUGUGGGAUGCUUUCUUUGCUAGCUUGAGUUGGUUGGGUUUGCCAUAGACAGUCAGUACAUAUUCGGUAAUACCUACUUGAAAUGGAUUAGAAGGACUGCAGUCUGUUUGCUUCAUUUUUGGUUGAUUUUCUACAGUUGGAUACCCUUUCUAAUACCAACCUCCUUUACAGAGUGUACUGGAUACUUUUUCAUGGCAUCAGCACCAGAGAGGUCGCCAUGUCUUGCACAAGACUAAAAGCACCUCAUUUCCUUGCACUUUGCAGAAUGUAUUGAAUGCAAUUUUUGCAACACCAGCACAAAAGAAGUCAUUGUGUUCUCAAUGUGACUAUCAGUAUUCAAUUACCCAGAAAGCUCAUAAGAAGUAAUUAGUAAUCAGCAGUGGAGGUGAGUGUUAUGGAAUCAUUGUUACCAGAAUAAGGAUGAUUGGAAAUUUUCCAGGGAGACAUUAACCUCUGUUGACUGCAGAAGGAUUCUCCCUCCCUCUCCUUGUCAAGUGUAGAUGCUAUGAUACUGGUGUCCGAUGUGUGAUCAUACAUUGUAGUGAAACCUGGAUGGUGAGAGCUGAGGAUACAUGUUGGCAGGAAAGAAAUGAUGUGAAUCUGGUCUGUUGGAUGUUUAAUGUGACUGAAAGAACACAGGUGUGACAAAAGGAAUACUGGGAAUUAGAGGAAUCAGAUGUAAUGUAUAGGAGAGGAGAUGGCUUUCAGAAUUCCUCCUGUCGGUAAUCUGCAUAUUGUUGCUUUAUUAGUGAUAUGUCCUUAAUUUAGCUCUCUCAGGUAACAGAUGAGUAAGACAACAACCACUCUGGAACUUGUACAACAAAAAUCACCCUCUACACACUUUACAGUGGUUGUCAUAUAAACAAUGAAAGCAUAGGGUCGUGAGAUCCCCCUUAGUCCAGUCUUGUUAAGGGUCAUUCAACCUCACUAGUGUUGCAGUGUAUGGGAGCAGCAGCGCCUACUAAAAAUGGAUCAAGUCCUAAUGAACCAACACACGCAGUGUAGAAAGCAAAUGUAAAAUUGUAAAUUAAUGAUUAUGGUGUAAUGUGUCCUGUUGUUACAAGUUAGAUAUUUUUUUGUGACAGUUUUUGCUAAGUGAUUAUAUAACUUACUAGCUGGCUCUGUGCCAUCAAAAAUGACACCUAAUUAUAGUAUUAUAUUUGUUUUAUAUCCUUGAUACACGCGGGUGAUAAUUAUUUUCUCUAAUCAGUUUGUAUAGGUGUGUGUGGUUGUAAUAAUUAUUUUUAGCAAAAAGACAGAAUAUGGAUGGUAAAUCAAAUUAAUACGCAUGUCAAUGUUAUCCAGUGGAUGUCUUUUGAGAUGUGACAUUGAUCAUCAUUUAUUACUGAAAGAAUGUCGGUUAGUUAAUGUAUAGUUACUGGGUAAAAAUUUCUUAAUAUAAAUAAAUUAAUGACAUGUGUAAACUGUUAAAUUAAGAUGUGUAUUUAUAAUAUACCUUUCAACUGCAGUUGUUUUAUAUUCUUGAUACUUUCAGGCAAUAAUUAUUUUCUCUAAUGAGUUUGUAUAUGUAUAUGUUUGUGUAGGUGUGUGUGAUAGUAAUAAUUAUUUCUAACAAAACAGAAUAUGGAUGGUAUUUCAAAUUAAUACACACGUCAAUGUUAUCUAGUGGUUGCUGUUUGAGAUGUGACAUCGAUCAUCGCUUGUUACUGAAAGAACAUUGGUUCACACGUACAAACAUUCACAUACUUCCCUUGUACAUACUCACACAGAGUUGAAAUGCUGUUUGAUUUUUCUUUUCAGCGCUGAAUGUCCACCAUCCCACUUCUAUUACACACACACACACAAACAUUCACAUACCUCCCUUUUACAUACACACGCUUAUACUCACACAGAGUUGAAAUGCUGUUUGAUUUUUCUUUUUCAUCGUAGAAUUUCCAUCAUCUCACUACUGGUUUGCCAUCACUCCAUCCUUUCUCAUUCAUAUGUUGUGAUGUAGAAAGAGUAUUAUUAUAGUAGAUAACCUGUCCUAGGAGUGCUACCAUAUUGAUUUGUAAAUAUUAUAGUUGUCUAAUUAGUCAGACUGUCAUACAUUACAAUUAGGUGCCUUUAUGUUGUUCUUCAGACUGCUAGGAAUAGGAGCGAAAUUUCCCUCAGAUUACAUUCUGUUGUCUAAGAAACAAAGAGAGAAAACGUUUGAUAAUGCAGUGUAAUACCGUCAUUGUUUUAAUGUUAGUUUUUCUAGGCUCAGAAGGGUCAAAUGUAAUUUAUUGAGGGAGAUUUUCUAAUCAGAAACCUUUCCCGUUGCCAACCCUCUCCUGUUUCCAAACAAGUUCAGGUUUCCUCAUGACCAGACAUGUUUUAAUGAAAGAUUGGACGCUGUUUGCAUGCACUGAGUACAUUGUGUAAAGUGGUUGGCGUUAAUAAGGGCAACAAGCCAUAGAAACCAUGACUGGCACCUGGUGCAACCCUCUGGCUUGCCAGCUUCUGUCAAACUGUCCAACCCAUGCCCGCAUGGAAAAUAGACGUUAAAUGAUGAUGAGAAUGGUGAUGAUGAAGGUGCAGGCAUGGUUGUGUGGUAAGAAGUUUGCUUCCCAACCACAUGAUUCCAGGUUCAGUCCCACAGUGUGACACCUUGGGCAAGUGUCUUCUAUAGUCCUGAGUGGAUUUGGUUGACGGAAACUGAAAGAAGCCUGUUGAGGAUUUUGCCUUGGAAGGUACUUGGUGACCCUGUCAGUGCAGGUACCAUGUAAAAAGCACUUGUGCUGGUGCCACGUAAAAAACACUGGUGCUGGUACCAUGUAAAAAAUGCUAGUGCUGGUACCACAUAAAAAGCAUCAGUGCUGGUGCCAUAUGGUGCUAUGUAAAAAGUACCUGUGCUGGUGCCACAUAAAAGCACCCAGUACACUUGGUAAAGUGUUUGGCAUUAGGGAUGGCAUCCAGCUGUAGAAACCAUGCUAAAACAGACAGUUGGAGCCUGGUAUAGGUCUCUGGCUUGACAGCUCCUGUCAAACUGUCCAACCCAUGCCAGCAUGAAAAACAGACAUCAAAUGAUUGUGAUGAUUUCCAGAUUCACCCCACCAUCCUCCCCUCUAAAAUGUGAGUAGUCAUGUUGCUUCUCUGCUUCAAGAAACCUGUUAUGCUCUGGCCCUUUCACUCUUGCUCUUUUACCCCAUACUUUCGCAGCACAAUGUUGCCUUUCCCUAUUUGGGUUCAUAUUCUUGUAAGUUGCACAGUGACCUCACUAUUGUUGGUGGUAUAAUAAAAGGCAGCGAGCUGGCAGAAACGUUAGCGUGCUGGGUGAAAUGCUUAGCGGUAUUUCGUCUGCUGCUACGUUCUGAGUUCAAAUUCCGCCAAGGUUGACCUCGUCUUUCAUCUUUUUGGAGUCGAUUAAAUAAGUACCAGUUACACACUGGGGUCAAUAUAAUCGACUUAAUCCGUUUGUCUGUCCUUGUUUGUCCUCUCUGUAUUUAGCCCCUUGAGGGUAGUAAAGAAAUAAGUAUAAUAAAAGCACUCUGUAAAAUAGUUGGCAUUAGCAAGGACAUCCAGUCAUGGAGACCAUGCUAAAGCACAUACUGGAGCAUAAUACAGUCCUUGAAUCCUUCAGAUUUUGUCAAGCUGUCCAAUCCAUGAUAGCAUAGAAUUUGGAUGUUCAAUGAUGAUGUCUGUUAAGAUAUUUGAUUUCUAGCAUUAGUACAAGAGUGUAAAAUCUGGACCCCAGUACUUGAUUGGCAUUUUAUUCUAUUGACCUUUUGAUUGAUUAAAAGCAACAUUGACUUUGUUGAGAUUUGAACCCUGAAUGUUAAGGUCUAACUAAACCUGCAGAAUAUUUUGUCUGUCACUCCACCCUUUCUACUAAUCCACUCCACCCCCUUCACUUCUUGGAUAUUAAAUGUUUAGAUAUUUACAUCAUGUAAUUGACCAGGUUAUUGGAUGUUGUUGCACAUUGCUGGUCACAAUGCUCCUUGCAUCGUUUUAGCUUUUGAAUGAUGCCUCCCCACUGGCUAAGUGAGCAGGCUGACAUUCCCCCCUGAUCAGAAGUCUGGUCUAUUGCAGGGUGACAUGUUUACAGUUGAGUGGACUGGAACAAUGUGAAAUGAAGUGUUUUGCUCAAGAACAGAAUGUAGCACUCAAUCCAAGAAUCAAACACAUGAUCUAGUCAUUAUAAAUGCAAUAUCUGAAUCACCAGGUCACAUGCCUUCAGAUAUUAUUAUCAAAUCUACAUUAUUUACAUUAUUUACAUUUGACGAAUGUUUGUCCUCAUCUUGUUUGUUGUUAACACAACGUUUUGGCUUUCAUCAGGUGUCUUGAGGAAAUUUUGAGCCUGGGUUCUCAUUCCUAAGGUAUUUUCGAUGUUAUUAUUGCUAUCAUUGUCUUUGCACAGCUUCUAACGCUGGAGAUGCCAGCUGUUCACUACUAGUGAACUAAGGUAAUACCUCUUAUUUUUCGAGCACCAUCCAGAGUAUUUGAGCAGUUUCAAACAGUGCUGUUUUCUGCAAGUGCUCCGCCCUUAUUGCAGCCCCUAUUUGUUCCAUGUACUUCUCAAGAAGUACAUGGCUCCGACAAUUAUUGGUACCACUACCACCUUUUCCAUCGACCACAACUGCUUAACCUCCCAAGCUAACCUGUCAUAUCUAUUGACAUUUUUUAAAAACUAUUUUAUUAUUAUUAUUAUUUAGGUCACUGCCAGAAAUCAAACUCAGAAUCUUGGGGUUAGUAGCCCGCACUCUUAACCACUAUGCCAUAUGCCUGUUAACAACAAACAAGAUGACAAAUAUCCGUCAAGUGUAAAUAAUGUACAUAAUUCCUCAUUUCUUAAAUAUAGAACUGUAUUAUCAAAUCUGUUUAAUAGGCACAGGAGUGACUGUGUGGUAAGUAGUUUGCUUAUCAGCCACAUGGUUCUGGGUUCAGUCCCAUUGCGUGGCACCUUGGGCAAGUGUCUUCUGCUAUAGCUUCGGGCUGGCCAAAGCCUUGUGAGUGGAUUUAGUAGACAGAAACUUAAAGAAGCCCAUUGUGUAUAUAUAUAUAUACACACACACACAUCAUCAUCAUCAUCAUCGUUUAACAUCCGUUUUCCAUGCUAGCAUGGGUUGGAUGGUAUAUACACAUAUAUGGAAAAAAACGUCAAGGUAGAAAAUGCUAAAAUAAUUUUAUAAAAAACAUUUCAGUACUGGUUUCAGUCAUUGAGACUUUUUCAACUGUAAGUAUGGAAAACAAUUAGAUUUUGGAAAAAUUAAAUGAAAAGUUUUUUAAAAGAAUAUUUGCAUAGUAUUCAAAUACAAGGGGUAUUUUCCUUCCGUUUUCCAUACUGGCAUGGAUUGGACAGUUUGAUUGGGGACUGGCAAGCCAGAAGGCCACACCAGGCUCCAAUCUGAUCUAGCUGUGUUUCUACAGCUCGAUGCCCUUCCUAAUGCCAACCACUCCAAGAGUGUAGUGGCUGCUUUUUAUGUGCUACUGGCACAGGAGCCAGUCAGGCGGCACUGGCAUUGGCCAUGUUCAGAUGGUGCUUUUUACAUGCUACUGGCACAGGAGCCAGUCGAGGCAGGGAGACUGGCAUCAACCAUGUUUGGAUGGUGCGUUUUAUGUGCCACCGGUAUGGGGAGUCAUAUGUGUGUGUGUAUUUGUGUGUCUGUUUGUCCCACCACCAUCACUUGACAACUGAUGUUGGUGUGUUUAUGUCCCCGUAACUUAGUGGUUUGGCAAAAGAUACAGAUAGAAUAAGUACUAGGCUUACAAAUAAUAAGUCCUGGGGUCGAUUUGUUCGAUUAAAGGUGGUGCUCUAGAAUGGCCGCAGUGAAAAUGACUGAAGCACAGAAAGAAAAAAGAAUGAAAGAAAAAUUCAGAUAUUGUGAAAUGCUUUGUCCUAUUUUGUUAUCAAACUAAUUUAUAUUUCAUUUGAGGACCAACUUGUCCUAUUUAUCAUUAUUAUUCUUAUUUGGCUUGUCUCUUGCUGCUUUCUUGUACUAUUGUUGUUUAGAGGAACUGAUUUCUAGAAAUGUCACCAAAAUUGUCUCUUGGAAAAAAACAACAAAACAAAACAAAACAAAAAGGCACGCACACACACAAAAAUAAAGGCAAAAAUUUGUAAAAUUGUUAUAUGAGGGAAUAUUUCAGAUAGUAUUUGGGUUUAUUUUUCAUUCUCUCUGCUGGGAAAGGUCAUCUGCUGUGCUAGCUCUUCCAGCUCCUCCUUGCAACAUCAACUCAGCUACUAUUGCUAACAGUUUAAUGGAGCAGGAAGUCAUUAAUACAGCAAAUGGUUAGCUUUUUUUGUUGUUUUGUUUUAGUUUUGUUUGUUUCUUUUUGUUACUAUUUUUUUCUUUUUUUGGUGUCAUUUCUCAAACUGUUGUUGUAAUUAUGUUUGCCAGAUAGACAGCAACAGAGGCCUUGCUUUUUAAGCGAUGAGUCUUAGUGACCUUCAGCUAGUUAUUUGGCAGUGUUGUUGUUGAACGGCGACGAACUUUCUCCACGAUAUUGCUGCUGUCGCUGCUGCUUCUGAAGUGAUGUCGCUGCUACGUAUGAACUCUGCG